rnacentral:rRNA from 1 species
GAUGAACGCUGGCGGCGCGCCUAACACAUGCAAGUCGAACGAGUGGCGAACGGGUGAGUAACACGUGACCAACCCGCCCCCCCACCGGGACAACCUCGGGAAACCGAGGCUAAUACCGGAUAGGAGGGGCCGGGGUCGCGGCCCGUCAGGUAGACGGCGGGGAGAAGGCCCGCCGUGCCGACGACGGGUAGCCGGGGUGAGCGGCCGAUCGGCCAAAUGGGGAGUGAGACACGGCUCAGACUCCUACGGGAGGGAGCAGUGGGGAAUAUUGCGAAAUGGGGGAAACCCUGGCGCGGCGACGCCGCGUGCGGGAAGGGGGCCUGCGGGUCGUAAACCGCUUUCAGCAGGGAAGCGGUACCUGCAGAAGAAGCCCCGGCUAACUACGUGCCAGCCGCCGCGGUAAUAC